rnacentral:rRNA from 1 species
GCCCGUGGCAGUCGCACGGUAAUACGGAAGGUGCAAGCGUUGUUCGGAAUUAUUGGGCGUAAAGCGAGUGUAGGCGGUUUGAAAAGUCGGAUGUGAAAGCCCAGGGCCCAACCCUGGAAUUGCAUCCGAUACUGUCAGGCUAGAGUCCCGGAGAGGGUGGCGGAAUUCCCGGUGUAGGGGUGAAAUCCGUAUAUAUCGGGAGGAACACCAGUGGCGAAGGCGGCCACCUGGACGGUGACUGACGCUGAGACUCGAAAGCGUGGGUAGCAAACAGGAUUAGAUACCCUGGUAGUCCACGCCGUAAACGAUGGGUACUAGGUGUCGCGGGUAUUGACCCCUGCGGUGCCGAAGCUAACGCAUUAAGUACCCCGCCUGGGGAGUACGGCCGCAAGGCUAAAACUCAAAGAAAUUGACGG